rnacentral:rRNA from 1 species
GAUGAACGCUGGCGGCGUGCCUAAUACAUGCAAGUCGAGCGAACAGAUGAGGAGCUUGCUCCUCUGACGUUAGCGGCGGACGGGUGAGUAACACGUGGAUAACCUACCUAUAAGACUGGGAUAACUUCGGGAAACCGGAGCUAAUACCGGAUAAUAUAUUGAACCGCAUGGUUCAAUAGUGAAAGACGGUUUUGCUGUCACUUAUAGAUGGAUCCGCGCCGCAUUAGCUAGUUGGUAAGGUAACGGCUUACCAAGGCAACGAUGCGUAGCCGACCUGAGAGGUUGAUCGGCCACACUGGAACUGAGACACGAUCCAGACUCCUACGGGAGGCAGCAGUAGGGAAUCUUCCGCAAUGGGCGAAAGCCUGACGGAGCAACGCCGCGUGAGUGAUGAAGGUCUUCGGAUCGUAAAACUCUGUUAUUAGGGAAGAACAAAUGUGUAAGUAACUAUGCACGUCUUGACGGUACCUAAUCAGAAAGCCACGGCUAACUACGUG